CGUGCUUUACGGAGCUAAGCCUUGCCCAGAAGAGGAAAGAAGACAGCAGAGACAGCUCAGGGAGUGUGGCAGGAUGCUGUCAUGACCCUGUGUAAGACUCCAGCUGAGUGCUGUGUGUAUUUAUAGACACACACACACACACAGACACGCAGGCAUGGGAAACGUGCCCUGGAACAAACGUACUGUUUGUUUCCUGGAAACAUGCCCUUCCUUGCCAACUUGCCAGAUUUCCCAGAUCACAUCAUCCUGAAGCAGGGAAAAUUAUGUCUUCUUAUUCCCGGCAUCCACCUGCCACAUGAAGAGAGAUCUUUGGAAAACGGAUCUGACCACUUCUCUGCCCUUUGGAAGACUGGAGCGAUUUCACCUUGUCCUCGGGGAACGAGCUUAAAUUCUCGUGAUGCUGAGAAGAGGGCAGGAGCGGAUAAGUCAAGCACACAAACCAUGGAGAAAAACUUAAGGAUACUUUCCACACCCCAAGCAACAGGCACAUCCCUCUGGGGUGCAACCUAGAAAAGGGAGACAGCAGGCAACACACAAAGGGAAGAAGAUGUGAAACCUGAACUUUUGAGCGUCUAAGGAUCCUGGUCCUAGCAAUUUAAAGGUAGUGUCAGAAAAUUUCAAUUUGGUUUAUUAUAAUGUAUUUGGACUGUAAAGAAACUGAUUAAGAACCUAAAUCCUGAGUUGGGUACAAUUACACUGUAGAGUGACCUCAGAACUUUGAAUGUUGGAUAAAUUCAACUUUCUCUCCCUAGGCUUGAAUGUAGAAAGAAAAAGGAUGAGAACAAAUGUAAAGUGCUUUCUGGCUCUUAUCAAUGUUCUAUACAAAGUUUACAAACUAAUCACCAAUGAUGAGACUAAUAAGACACUUCCUGGGUAAUGGGAGUGUGUGGAGGGUAAGACUUCUGUGCUUCUGUCCCCCAAAUAAAGACUGUUUCCCCCUAGUUCA
rnacentral:lncRNA from 1 species